rnacentral:rRNA from 1 species
UACGUAGGGUGCGAGCGUUAAUCGGAAUUACUGGGCGUAAAGCGUGCGCAGGCGGUCUUGCAAGUCAGAUGUGAAAGCCCCGGGCUCAACCUGGGAACUGCGUUUGAAACUACAAGGCUAGAGUACGGGAGAGGGAGGUAGAAUUCCACGUGUAGCAGUGAAAUGCGUAGAGAUGUGGAGGAAUACCAAUGGCGAAGGCAGCCUCCUGGCUUGAUACUGACGCUCAUGCACGAAAGCGUGGGGAGCAAACAGG